UACAUGCAGUCGAACGCACAGCGAAAGGUGCUUGCACCUUUCAAGUGAGUGGCGAACGGGUGAGUAACACGUGGACAACCUGCCUCAAGGCUGGGGAUAACAUUUGGAAACAGAUGCUAAUACCGAAUAAAACUUAGUAUCGCAUGAUACCAGGUUAAAAGGCGCUACGGCGUCACCUAGAGAUGGAUCCGCGGUGCAUUAGUUAGUUGGUGGGGUAAAGGCCUACCAAGACAAUGAUGCAUAGCCGAGUUGAGAGACUGAUCGGCCACAUUGGGACUGAGACACGGCCCAAACUCCUACGGGAGGCUGCAGUAGGGAAUCUUCCACAAUGGGCGAAAGCCUGAUGGAGCAACGCCGCGUGUGUGAUGAAGGCUUUCGGGUCGUAAAGCACUGUUGUAUGGGAAGAAAAGUUAAGGUAGGGAAUGACCUUAGCCUGACGGUACCAUACCAGAAAGGGACGGCUAAAUACGUGCCAGCAGCCGCGGUAAUACGUAUGUCCCGAGCGUUAUCCGGAUUUAUUGGGCGUAAAGCGAGCGCAGACGGUUGGUUAAGUCUGAUGUGAAAGCCCGGAGCUCAACUCCGGAAAGGCAUUGGAAACUGGUUAACUUGAGUGCAGUAGAGGUAAGUGGAACUCCAUGUGUAGCGGUGGAAUGCGUAGAUAUAUGGAAGAACACCAGCGGCGAAGGCGGCUUACUGGACUGUAACUGACGUUGAGGCUCGAAAGUGUGGGUAGCAAACAGGAUUAGAUACCCUGGUAGUCCACACCGUAAACGAUGAACACUAGGUGUUAGGAGGUUUCCGCCUCUUAGUGCCG
rnacentral:rRNA from 1 species